AAUUCUUUCUCAUGCUAUUCUUUAACUAGAACACAACAAACUUUAACUGCGUCCUACAGGACUGAACUAUGAUCUGAGCGACGCGUCGGUUUACGUGAAUGUCUCGGGGCGAGAAACACGGCGAAAGGUGUUUGUGUGCCCGCGAACAGGAAAAUAUACCAGCAGGUAGCAGUCACUGAUGCUUACUGCCCUUGUUCUGUUAAUAAUCCAUGGGAGUAGCUCAUUUUGACCCAGUUGUAAAUAAAAGAAGUGCUGCAAUGAACAGUUCUGGUUAAAUCUUGGCAUUCAUUUUUUUGCUUUGCUAAAUUGUAUUUUUGGUAAUAUAGAACAGACAGCCAAUUACCGAUAUGAAAAAUCGUAAGAAUAAUAUUAAACGAAGAUCCAUACAAUGUGAAUUGAAGAAACUGAUUACAUUACAACGAACGAGUGAAUGAUCAGUGAAAAACAAUCUAAGAAAUGUAUGGAUGCUGAGUCGUUUACAACACAUGUAAAAAAGUGCGCUAAAUAUAAUUUUUUUUAAAAAAUCUGCCGAGUUUAUGGAUACUGUGUCGUUGAUAGGAAGCACAAACUGUGUAUUUGCUUUCCCCUCUUGAAAAUUUUAGCGAAUGU